GGCCAGAUAGCUUAGUUGGUAGAGCACCUGACUGGGGAUUAAGGGGGCUCGGGUUCGAGUUCCGGUCUGGUCC